AUCUCUAAAAAGACAAAUAUUUAGGAACAGAGGGAGUACAUGGGUUAUGUGCCCACAAUUACAUGAAAUUUAAUUUUUGUGGGAGGAUUCAUCGGAGUGGCUUGCCAUUCGGUUUCUCACGUGUCACCCAGACGUUGCACUACUGUCCGGACUUGGCACAUCCCAA
rnacentral:snRNA from 9 species